rnacentral:tRNA from 1 species
GACUGUGGCUCAGUGGUAGAGUGCUUGCCUAGCAUGCUUGAGGCCCUGGGUUCAAUUCCCAGUACA